UAAGAUAACAAGCUCCUGCAUGUCAUUUUCCCCAAUGAUAAUCCUCUCAUCUCCCUGAAUAAACCCCUUGAAAGCAAUCUCGUGUAAUAAGCGGGGCUCAAGUACGGAAUAUCUGUUAUCCAGGUGUGGUGCCUGGAUUUUGAGCUGUAGGUGCUGGGUACUCUUGCAAUCUUCGUGGUUCAGGAUGGAAGUUUGCAGACUAAAAAAAACUUGCGCCUCUUCAUCAAUAACUUCGGAAAUAGUUGCGGGCCAAAGAUAGGAUCCUCGGAGGAAGGGGCGAUUGUACAUGCUCGUAUUACCACGGUAUGGAGGAAUGGGGAAUUCAAGGGCCCUUCGCCAGCUUGGACCAUGGCUGAGGAAAGGGAUGCUGGUGAUU
rnacentral:sRNA from 1 species